rnacentral:rRNA from 1 species
AUUGAACGCUAGCGGCAUGCUUUACACAUGCAAGUCGAACGAGUGGCGGACGGGUGAGUAAUAUAUCGGAACGUGCCCAGUAGCGGGGGAUCACUACUCGAAAGAGUGGCUAAUACCCGACACUAUUGGAGCGGCCGAUAUCGGAUUAGCUAGUUGGGGGGGUAAAGGCUCACCAAGGCAACGAUCCGUAGCUGGGUUGAGAGGACGACCAGCCAAACUGGGACUGGGACCCGGCCCAGACUCCUACGGGAGGCAGCAGUGGGGAAUUUUGGACAAUGGGGGAAACCCUGAUCCAGCCAUCCCGCGUGUAUGAGAAGGCCUUCGGGUUGUAAAGUACUUUUGGCGGAGAAGCGGUAUCUGCAGAAUAAGCACCGGCUAACUACGUGCCAGCAGCCGCGGUAAUUC